UACGUAGGGUGCGAGCGUUGUCCGGAAUUAUUGGGCGUAAAGAGCUCGUAGGCGGUUUGUCGCGUCGGAUGUGAAAGCCCGGGCUUAACUCCGGGUCUGCAUUCGAUACGGGCAGGCUAGAGUUCGGUAGGGGAGAUCGGAAUUCCUGGUGUAGCGGUGAAAUGCGCAGAUAUCAGGAGGAACACCGGUGGCGAAGGCGGUUCUCUGGGCAUUACCUGACGCUGAGGAGCGAAAGCGUGGGGAGCGAACAGG
rnacentral:rRNA from 1 species